rnacentral:rRNA from 1 species
UACGAAGGGGGCUAGCGUUGCUCGGAAUCACUGGGCGUAAAGGGUGCGUAGGCGGGUCUUUAAGUCAGGGGUGAAAUCCUGGAGCUCAACUCCAGAACUGCCUUUGAUACUGAGGAUCUUGAGUACGGGAGAGGUGAGUGGAACUGCGAGUGUAGAGGUGAAAUUCGUAGAUAUUCGCAAGAACACCAGUGGCGAAGGCGGCUCACUGGCCCGUAACUGACGCUGAGGCACGAAAGCGUGGGGAGCAAGCAGG